rnacentral:rRNA from 1 species
UACGGAGGGUGCAAGCGUUACCCGGAUUUACUGGGUUUAAAGGGUGUGUAGGCGGACUAUUAAGUCAGUGGUGAAAUCCCGAGGCUCAACCUCGGAACUGCCUUUGAUACUAUUAGUCUUGAAUGUUGUUGAGGUGGGCGGAACGGGUCAUGUAGCGGUGAAAUGCAUAGAUAUGACCCGGAACACCGAUUGCGAAGGCAGCCCGCUAAGCAACUAUUGACGCUGAGGCACGAAAGCGUGGGGAUCAAACAGG